GUGAAAUUGUUGAAAGGGAAGCGCUUGCGACCAGACUUGCCUUCAGUUGAUCAAUCGGUGUUCUUCACCGGUGCACUCGGCUGAGGUCAGGCCAGCAUCGGUCUAGGCGGUUGGAGAAAGGCUUUGGGAAUGUGGCUCCCUUCGGGGAGUGUUAUAGCCCAUGGUGUCAUGCAACCAGCUUGGACCGAGGACCGCGCCUCGUGCUAGGAUGCUGGCGUAAUGGUCGUAAGCGACCCGUCUUGAAACACGGACCAAGGAGUCUAACAUCUAUGCGAGUGUUUGGGUGUAAAACCCAUGCGCGUAAUGAAAGUGAACGGAGGUGGGAACCCUUGAGGGUGCACCAUCGACCGAUCCUGAUGUCUUCGGAUGGAUUUGAGUAAGAGCAUAGCUGUUGGGACCCGAAAGAUGGUGAACUAUGCCUGAAUAGGGUGAAGCCAGAGGAAACUCUGGUGGAGGCUCGCAGCGGUUCUGACGUGCAAAUCGAUCGUCAAAUUUGGGUAUAGGGGCGAAAGACUAAUCGAACCAUCUAGUAGCUGGUUCCUGCCGAAGUUUCCCUCAGGAUAGCAGUAACGUAUUCAGUUUUAUGAGGUAAAGCGAAUGA
rnacentral:rRNA from 1 species